GACAGAGGGUGCAAACGUUGUUCGGAAUUACUGGGCGUAAAGCGAGUGUAGGCGGUCCGCUAAGUCGGGUGUGAAAGCCCUGGGCUCAACCCAGGAAGUGCACUCGAAACUGGCGGGCUAGAGUACUGGAGAGGUUGGUGGAAUUCUCGGUGUAGAGGUGAAAUUCGUAGAUAUCGAGAGGAACACCGAUGGCGAAGGCAGGUCUCUGGGCCACUACUGACGCUGAGAAGCGAAAGCAUGGGGAGCGAACAGG
rnacentral:rRNA from 1 species